ACAAUUUGACCUCAAAUCAGGUAGGACUACCCGCUGAACUUAAGCGUAUCAAUAAGCGGAGGA
rnacentral:rRNA from 1 species